CAGUGUUGAGUGGCGCAGGUGGGACAAAGUAGGGACCAAUGAUCCCGCUCAUUUCCUGUAUGCUAUUGCUGCCUUUCCAGGUGUGAGCAUUCUGAAGGGUCGCUCUGCCAGCAGAGAUCAGGCGGUCCUACCCACGCGGUUGUUGUCUCUACUUCCCUGCUAGAGUUAUAGCCAGCUUGCAUCUAAAUACACCUUCAGCUUGGUACCAGCAGGCCUGAGCCUUUCCAUCAUCUGGCUCAGACAAUCGGCAUUUUCAAGUGCAGGCUUGAGGAUGCUGAGGAGAAAAGCUGUUUUCUUUCCCAAGCGCAUCUGCACACUGAACAUCUGUAUAGCCCUGCUUCUCCCAAGGACCUGGACCCAACAGUGUCUUUACUUUUAGGCUUCCAGGAGAAUCCUGUUUUUUUUUUUUUUUUUUCUUCUUGGAUCCUUUGGGGGUAUUCUUCUUUUCCCCAACCUCUCUGCUUCCAGACCCACAGUACCAGCAGAUUAAGUUAUUUUAAUUUUAUGAAUAUGCAUAUACAAAAGCCUAAGCUAUUUUCUGAGAGAAAGUGCAAACGAGUCUGCAGGAAAUGUGCGGCUAUUUCUGCUGAUGGGUAGAAGUAUGGCUGAAUCACACCCAGAGCUACUGAGUGCAUUCCGUGAGUAGCGAGUGCCUUGCUUUUCUGGAUCAGAACGGUUUUUCAAUGUGCUGGUGAUGCUUAGACAAAUGGUAUUCGUUUCCCCGACAAGGAAACGUCAGGAUCUUUCACUGACCCUGGAACUCGGGGAUUUGGGGAGAGCAGCUGGCCAUCAAGCCCCAGGCAUCCUGCUGCCCCUCUUCAUCUGCAAUAGAAGGGCAGAUGUAUGCUGCUAUGCCUUCUUGUUGUUUGUUUUUGUUUUUAGACAUUGACUUAACUAAGGUCCUCAUGCUUUCGCAAUAUACAUCCACAUUUCCCCCUGACGGCAACAAAUGCUCCUGGCAAAGCAAGCCUGCCCUCACAUCCAGGAUGUAACUGAUUUGUUUCCUUUCUCCUUGGCGGUAAUUGGUGCAACAAUCCAGGAUCACAACAGCCAAUGAUUCCUAGACAAAUUGUUGAAGCGCAGCUAAAGAAAACUGGAGGAUAUAUUGGCCAGGGACUUUGGGAAAGAUAAAGUUGUGGGAAAGAUGGUCAUUCUUGACCAAGGUCAUUGUCUUAGCAGAGUUUUAUACUGUUUGUUCAAGGAUGGAGCAACAAUGGGAAGGAGAAAAAAAAUAGAAUCAUAAUGAAACAGGCCAAGCCUCCUCCUCCAUAUUCUCAGUCUUGCAACCAAUGUAAGCUAGAGAGUUCCCUGAUUAACACAGGCUGCACUUUCUGUUUGCUUCUUCCUAAGCCAUCAGCUUCACACAGAGGCUGUUAUGUACCAGAACAGGUACAAGAGCAGAUACCAACAAUCAAACUAUGACAACAACCAAAAUACUUAUGACAUUUUCAAGGCGCUGUAUUCUUAAAAAAGCCUUUAACAUGUUUUAAUGCAGUCAGUAGUCUACAGCAGUGUGACACACAGCUACGGUUACAAUGGGGUUUUGUUUUGUUUAGAAAGUUGAGCCUCAGUCUGAAAGGAAUCAAACUGUGUAGUCAGAAUUGCCCGGAGAGUCCUACCUUUCCACCCUUGUAAAUCAGCUGCUUUCCAUUUUCUCUUCCACUACUCAGCUGAUAAACUAUAUUUAUUAAAGACUCAUGUGUCACUCACACACUGGGCACAAACUAAUGACAAUGUCCCCAGAUCUCAUGAAAGUUACUUUCUAGUGAGUAGUAAAAUCAUAAGUUAAUCACGAUAAUUCCAUGCAGAGGGCAUUUUAAAAACAGGAUAGAGAUUAUUGAGAGGAAUCAGCAGGAGGCUCUGGUGAUAAGUGGUCAGGGAAAACUUUUCUGAGAAAAUUGAUAGUUAAGUUGUAUUUUUUAUUUUAAAAUAUCUAUUAGUUUCCAGUGUGUGUGCGUGCAUGCGUGUGUGCACAUGCACGUGCAUGGGCACGCGCACAUGUGUAUUAUGCAGAAGGAUAGAGGAGCAUGUCCUACCUGUUUAUCCAUCAUCCUCUGACUCAUUCUCUUGAGACAGAGUCUCUUGAUGAAGCUUACUGCUUUCUUUUAGCUAAGCUAUUUGGCCAGCAAGAUCCAGCCACCCCCUUGCUGUGACCUCUUCCUCUGGUGGCAGGAUUACAGGCAUACACAAUUCUGUUCAUGACCAGGUUACAGGUACACAUGAUUCUGCGCAUGUGUGGGUUUAUAUAGGUACUGGGGAUCCAAACCCAGGUCCUUGUACUUGUUCUAUGAGUCAUCUGCCCAGCAGGGGUUGAGUUUGUAAAAAUGAACAUCAGCUAAUUUGCUGAUAGACACCAGGAGACAUUUGGAUUACUGGCAGAAGAUAAAAAGAAUGUGGAUUAGAAAUCAGUUCUCCAUUUUUAUCCUCACUGAGUAUAAGGAGAUGCUAAAUGGAGUUUCAGUACAAGGUCCAGGAGGCGAGCAAAGAACUCUGUUCUGAAAACUCUCAGGUCUGAGAAGCAAGGCACUCAGUUGAUAGCUGAGAGACUCUAGUCACACAGGGAUGAUGGCUUGCCCAGUAUGCAACACAUACCCUGGUGAACACAAACUUGACUUCUGGGUCUGUCUGAAGACAGAGGUACCUGCCUCAGACAAUUGCCUACUCUCUAAGGAGUGUCUGAUAGAUGGUGCCAUCAUUAAAUUAUAAAGACGCUUGCUUACAAAUGGCAAGUAAUGAGUACAGACUUAAUAAGCUUACCAAUGGUCGCAACAGCUUUGAGGAUGUCUCUGUUGGUGAAUUCCACAGAGCCCAGAAGAUGCUGUCAAUACUCCUAUAGGGCUACCUAGUUAAUGGAAUGAGCAGCAACUGUGGCAUUCCUUGGCCAAUUCCUUGAAUGACUAAAGAAGAUACUCAUAGUCAUUGUGUUAAGCCUCAGAAUUCUAUAGAAGAGCCUUUUCUAGUUAGUGGCGAUUACAGACAUUGCUUUCCUCUGGCACUUACAUGUGGCACUGCAAUUUUGCACACUGCAGGUCUAGACUUCAAAUCUCAUUCUAUGAAAUCUCUUAUAUGAACCCUGUGAGUUAGAUCACAUUGGUAUUAUUACAGGUAUUAGUGUUUUCUGUUGCAUCUUACUUGGUUGUGGAGUUUUACAGAGUGUGAGAAAAACAAAAAUGAAAACAAAAUGAACAAACAAACAAACAACAACAAAAUUGUAGUCAAAAAUGCUCUCCAGAAUUGUCUUUCUCAAAUAUUCUAGUACUCUCCCAUGAAUGUUGUAGGUUGUUGCUAUUUCUUUUUCUCACACACGGUAAGGCAGAUGAUUUCUUUUUUUGGGGGGAGGGGUCAUCAUAGAAAAUAUUAGAGACAUGUUUAGUAAGGUAAAAUGUCUGUUUCCUCAUCAUCCCCUCCCCCAUACUUCCUGGUCCCCCCCACAGAUAUUGGAGUAUGCCCAGCAGAAACUCCCACUAGAUACAAUUGUGCACUCCCAGAUUAUAAAUGCAGAAUUAGUCUCCGGUAAACUAACUCCCUGUAGUGAUCCAUUCAUAGCAGAGCCUCAGGUGGAACUCAGGCUUUUUAUAGAUGCAUGCUCCCGCUUUCUCCUUUGGUUCCCAGAGCAUCAAUUUUCCCUACUCUCCAUCCCCCACCACUUCACUCUUGGGCCCAGAUUCUGUGCUUUCUCUAUCUCUCUAAAGUCUAACUCGGUCUGUGCCUUUGCAUUUGCCUUUUAUUAGCUGAUCUUCCCCUUCCCUGUUUGAAUGAAUUUAUUUCCAUCCUGGUGUUGGCUUUACCUUUUUAUUUUUUUUAAAGCUCUUAAAUCAUCUGUUUAAUCUUUUUUUUUCUUUUGAUAUCUUUGACUCUUGGUCAAGAUUAGCACAAGCAAAGGUGUUCAGUCAAAAGGCUCCAAGUCGCUUCACUAACAUCUUGACUUCUCAACUUCCCCAGAGGUUCCAUCACACCCCAUGGCCCAGGAAGAGGAUUGUCAUUGUCACCAAGGAAAAGCCUAUUUAGGCGAAUGCCCUCUGCAGAGUCAUUUAUCUUCUAUUCUAGUUUAUACUAGAGACAUGGCUAUUGUCCAAAACGGUGAUUUAUUAGGGGUUCUCUUUAGGACUGUGUUUAAAGACACUAUGCCCUACAUUGUGAGAUUGUUAAAGUAAAAAUUUCCUGUAGAAGUAAAUUUAGAGCAGGACAAUGGGUGUGGGGGAGGAGAGUGUUGUCUGAAGUGCAUGGCAUUCUUACUGUUGGGGCUGUGGGUCCUUCUGGCUGUGCCAUGUCACACUGUCCUCUCUCCUAUUACUGCACGACUUUAGAGCUUAAGCAAUGCUACCUCAUUUAUCUGACUGUUCUAUAUUCUAAAGCUGAGUUCAAUUGUUUCAAGAGUUGCGGUGAUUUUAUUAUAGAAUGUCUUCAUUUAGUGUGAUGGCCAUUUAGUAAAUGUUUACAUUCACCCCAGGCAAGCUGCAAGAGGAAACAAGGGAAGACUUGCAAAGACCUCACAUAAAUUGGCUUUAAGACAGUAAGACAAAGAACAGGGUAGAUAACUACUGUUAAGUAUGGGACUGUCUUUAGGUGGAAUGAAGGUAGCAGUGCUGUGCCUUUAACUUACCAUUGAACACUGGCCAUUCACACUUCGGAGCCUCUCUUUCUGCUGGGCACAUAGUGUCAUUGUGGUAUCAUACCCACAAGAACACAAGGCUCGUUCUCAUUCAUCCCAGAAUAUGGAUUUGAUGUGGGAAGGCAAGGUCUAGUCCUUCUAUGCCAUGCUGCAGUACCCAAAGGCUCAAAGGAAUGCGCCAGGAAGAACUGCCAAGGCUCAACUCUGUUGCCUUCUAGGAAAGUGUCUUAUCAUUAAGCUUGACCUUUGAAGACUUUUUCCUCUUGCCUUUUAUAUACACACCGCAGCGACUGCCUCUAACUCUAACUGGGGUGAUUGGAACACUCUGUCAUCUGCUGGUGUUAAAGUGUUACAUUGAAUGGAAAUGCUGAGAGGCAGCUUGCCUCUGAUUAUGUAGGAUUCAAGGCAUCCUGAUUGCUAAACUACUUACUAUGACAAAUGCAAGAACUUUCUGGUUCAUUGACUCUGGUUGUGUUCUUGACAAAACCUCACGAAAGCAAAGAUGUCUGGUUGCUUCACAAAGAAAAGUAUUAGUUGUUUGUCGCCCC